AAGAAAGAAAACCUUUAAGAUUCUCUACUCUCCCAAUUCACUAAUAGGAAAGGCAUUAAGAAUUUAAUGUUGAAUGUUAAGUUUUAACAUUGGUUUUUUGUCAAACAUGAACAUUUUCAUAUAUUAUAACUAGUAUCUUUUAUGUUGUUUUCUAGAAAAAUUUCACGUUUCUCAAAAAUUCAGAGAGAAUAUGUAGGAAAAAGGCAUAAUAUUGAAUUGCAGUAAUAAAUACGAAGUAAAGAUAAGAAAUGUCGUGUAA